AGUUUGAUCCUGGCUCAGAUUGAACGCUGGCGGCAUGCCUUACACAUGCAAGUCGAACGGAUCUAGGGGCUUGCUCCUAGGUUAGUGGCGAACGGGUGAGUAAUGCAUCGGAACGUACCCAGUCGUGGGGGAUAACGUAGCGAAAGUUACGCUAAUACCGCAUACGUCCUGAGGGAGAAAGCAGGGGGAUCGCAAGACCUUGCGCGAUUGGAGCGGCCGAUGUCGGAUUAGCUAGUUGGUGGGGUAAAGGCCUACCAAGGCAACGAUCCGUAGCUGGUCUGAGAGGAUGAUCAGCCACACUGGGACUGAGACACGGCCCAGACUCCUACGGGAGGCAGCAGUGGGGAAUUUUGGACAAUGGGCGAAAGCCUGAUCCAGCCAUGCCGCGUGAGUGAAGAAGGCCUUCGGGUUGUAAAGCUCUUUCAGACGGAAAGAAAACUUCGAGGCUAAUACCUUCGGAGGAUGACGGUACCGUAAGAAGAAGCACCGGCUAACUACGUG
rnacentral:rRNA from 1 species